rfam:Poecilia formosa, whole genome shotgun sequence.
GGCGCUGUAGGUUAGUUGGUCAACACGCCUGUCUAGUAAACAGGAGAUCCUGGGUUCAAAUCCUAGCAGUGCCU